rnacentral:lncRNA from 1 species
CAGCAAUUGAGGCUGUUCAGAGACUCAGGAAUUCAAGUAUUGCCUGAAAGCUUAUCGUAGAAAGAAAACGAGGCUAUCGUUUUAAGAGAAGCAACAAUGUUCAUUAGUCAUAUAACAGAUUCUCAAAUAUCCACACGACGUGCAACACUCACUGCACUAGCUUUCACUGCAGUCUGACAAAGCCUGUAUUUGCAAUGUGUCCCCACUAGUUUCACAUUUGAUUACUGAGACCCCUUACUCUUCUGCCAGGAGCCUGAAUGAAGAAACCUUGCUGACAAGACGUGUUGGCCCUCUGACAAAGCAGAGUACAGCUGCAGACCAAAAAGAACAUUCCAGAGUCACAAAAGCUCUAACAAGAGAAGUGUUUCCUCUGUCUGUGACAACUUGGUACCAGCGAUGGCCUAAUUUAAAGAUGGCUUGGAAACCUAAUUUUGUAAGUAUUUUAUUAGCUAUUGUUAUUAAUCAUUUUAUUCCUGAAGGGGU